rnacentral:rRNA from 1 species
GAUGAACGCUGGCGGCGUGCCUAAUACAUGCAAGUCGAGCGAACCACUUCGGUGGUGAGCGGCGAACGGGUGAGUAACACGUAGGUGAUCUGCCCAUCAGACGGGGACAACGAUUGGAAACGAUCGCUAAUACCGGAUAGGACGAAAGUUUAAAGGUGCUUCUGGCACCGCUGAUGGAUGAGCCUGCGGCGCAUUAGCUAGUUGGUAGGGUAAAGGCCUACCAAGGCGACGAGGCGUAGCCGACCUGAGAGGGUGAACGGCCACACUGGGACUGAGACACGGCCCAGACUCCUACGGGAGGCAGCAGUAGGGAAUCUUCGGCAAUGGGCGAAAGCAUGACCGAGCAACGCCGCGUGAAUGAUGAAGGCCUUCGGGUUGUAAAAUUCUGUUAUAAGGGAAGAACGACUUUAGUAGGAAAUGGCUAGAGUGUGACGGUACCUUAUGAGAAAGCCACGGCUAACUACGUGCCAGCCGCCGCGGUAA